AGUGAACGCUGGCGGUAGGCCUAACACAUGCAAGUCGAACGGCAGCACAGUAAGAGCUUGCUCUUACGGGUGGCGAGUGGCGGACGGGUGAGGAAUACAUCGGAAUCUACUUUUUCGUGGGGGAUAACGUAGGGAAACUUACGCUAAUACCGCAUACGACCUACGGGUGAAAGCAGGGGAUCUUCGGACCUUGCGCGAUUGAAUGAGCCGAUGUCGGAUUAGCUAGUUGGCGGGGUAAAGGCCCACCAAGGCGGCGAUCCGUAGCUGGUCUGAGAGGAUGAUCAGCCACACUGGAACUGAGACACGGUCCAGACUCCUACGGGAGGCAGCAGUGGGGAAUAUUGGCCAAUGGGCGCAAGCCUGAUCCAGCCAUACCGCGUGGGUGAAGAAGGCCUUCGGGUUGUAAAGCCCUUUUGUUGGGAAAGAAAAGCAGCAGGUUAAUACCCCGCUGUUCUGACGGUACCCAAAGAAUAAGCACCGGCUAACUUCGUG
rnacentral:rRNA from 1 species